GAUGAACGCUGACAGAAAUGCUUAACACAUGCAAAGUAUACUUGAAUUUGGGUUUUUAACUUAGAUUUGGGUGGCGGACGGGUGAGUAACGCGUAAAGAAACUUGCCUCACAGCUAGGGACAACAUUUAGAAAUGAAUGCUAAUACCUAAUAUUAUGAUAAUAGGGCAUCCUAUAAUUAUGAAAGCUAUAUGCGCUGUGAGAGAGCUUUGCGUCCCAUUAGCUAGUUGGAGAGGUAACAGCUCACCAAGGCGAUGAUGGGUAGCCGGCCUGAGAGGGUGAUCGGCCACAAGGGGACUGAGACACGGCCCUUACUCCUACGGGAGGCAGCAGUGGGGAAUAUUGGACAAUGGACCGAGAGUCUGAUCCAGCAAUUCUGUGUGCACGAUGAAGUUUUUCGGAAUGUAAAGUGCUUUCAGUUGGGAAGAAAGAAAUGACGGUACCAACAGAAGAAGUGACGGCUAAAUACGUGCCAGCAGCCGCGGUAAUACGUAUGUCACGAGCGUUAUCCGGAUUUAUUGGGCGUAAAGCGCGUCUAGGUGGUUAUAUAAGUCUGAUGUGAAAAUGCAGGGCUCAACUCUGUAUUGCGUUGGAAACUGUAUAACUAGAGUACUGGAGAGGUAAGCGGAACUACAAGUGUAGAGGUGAAAUUCGUAGAUAUUUGUAGGAAUGCCGAUGGGGAAGCCAGCUUACUGGACAGAUACUGACGCUGAAGCGCGAAAGCGUGGGUAGCAAACAGG
rnacentral:rRNA from 1 species